rnacentral:ncRNA from 1 species
UUUUAGGAGAGUUUGAUCCUGGCUCAGGAUGAACGCUGGCGGCGUGGAUAAGGCAUGCAAGUCGAACGCUUAGUCUUGUGUAGCAAUACAUAGGACUAGGAGUGGCGAACGAGUUAGUAAUACCUUGGAACGUACCCCCGAGAUGGAAAUAACCUUGCGAAAGCAGGGCUAAUGUCCAAUGGUCUGACGGUCAAUUUGUGUUUGUAAUCAACAAUACCAUCUCUGAAUUUCUAAUUUCUAAUCUUUAACUUCUAAACAAAUUCAAAUUUUUUAAGUUUUGAAUUUAAAAAUUGUUUAGAGUUUAGAGUUUAGGAUUUCCGAGCAGAUCGCAAAUAUCAAUUGGCUGUCAGUAAAAGAGCAAUCUGCUCGGGGAGCGGCCUAGGUCCUAUCAGCUUGUUGGCGGGGUAACGGCCCACCAAGGCUACGACGGGUAGGGGGUGUGAGAGCACGGCCCCCAACGACGGAACUGAGAUACGGUCCGUACACCUACGGGUGGCAGCAGUCGAGAAUAUUCGACAAUGGGCGAAAGCCUGAUCGAGCGACGCCGCGUGCAGGAAGAAGGUCUUAGGAUUGUAAACUGCUUUUGCCAGGGAAGAAUUUUGACGGUACUUGGCGAAUAAGGGGUUGCUAACUCUGUGAUCCCAUCAGGGAUGGCGCAGAGCUCCUUCAGUAAUGAAGGAUAGGAAAAUUCAGCUUAUAUGCGGGAACAUUUUUCAU